rnacentral:rRNA from 1 species
UACGUAGGGCGCAAGCGUUGUCCGGAAUUAUUGGGCGUAAAGAGCUCGUAGGCGGCUUGUCGCGUCGUUCGUGAAAACCUGCAGCUCAACUGCAGGCUUGCGGUCGAUACGGGCAGGCUAGAGUUCGGUAGGGGAGACUGGAAUUCCUGGUAUAGCGGUGAAAUGCGCAGAUAUCAGGAGGAACACCGGUGGCGAAGGCGGGUCUCUGGGCCGAUACUGACGCUGAGGAGCGAAAGCGUGGGGAGCGAACAGG